rnacentral:lncRNA from 1 species
AGUCGCUGCCUCACCCGCGCCUGGCGCCCGCGGCUCCCUCCGCCUCGCCGGCGUUGGCCCACCCUCUCGUAGCUCACCCCGCGAGGCUGGACAGCUCCCGGAACCCCGGAACCGGGAUCUAUUUCGGGGGCUCGGCUGCGUGGCGCCCAGGACUCUCCAGGGUCUCCCAGGAUCGCUCCCCGAAUUCGAGUCGCCCCCUCUCUCUUUCGGGAAUACCAGCUGAUGUCAGUCCGCCAGCCAAAACCAGGGAGGAGAAGCGGGAGCCAGCCCUCUGGAGUCGGGAGAAGGAAGAAGGUGCCACAGCUCUUCAGGACCACGGUUGGGAGAAAGAAUGGAGGGGUUUUAGAACCUUCAGUGUGCGACUUCAUGUGCCAGUCUUCAUCUCAGGAUCUCAAGCUCUUGGAUCAUGGGCACGGAUAACCUGUUGUCCUCCUCUAUGGUCAAGAGGCUGCUUUUGCAAAGAAUCCAGUGGGAGAGAGUCAAUGGCCUGCUUGACGUGAACUCCAAAGUCCUCCUGAUCAGAAUACCAAUUUCUUACUGGGUCUGGAAAGGAGGAGAGAAGGAUAGAGAGUUUCUUCUAGGACCAAAUUGAUUCCUCCACAAAUAGGAAGAUCCCCAGACUGUGUGCACACACCCUCCUCCUCCUUCCUUCUCCAACCCUGGCUGGACCAUGACAUCACAUGGUGGAGGCUGUUUUUUAAAAAGAACUCAGGCCAGAUUUACAAGAAUGAUGCUCAGGCAGCGUGACUGUCAAGGACCGUGGCCAAGUGACCCAUAGCACACACCCAGCAGUGCUGAGAACAUAGCUAGUCCCUUAGCACCUGGGGCUGACUCAUGGUUGCUGUAGGACCCAAUGCCAGAUGCCAGGAUUGCUUUCUCCCUCCAUUCAUUAGGACUGUCCCAUGAAACCCUCCCCAGGAACCCUUCUACCCCAUCCCGGCAUGCCAGGAGCCUGGAUACUGCAUAACACAGGGUACUCAUAUUUGUUUACCAAGCCUUGAAGAUGACAGGCAAUAUGCUGAUAUGCUCAAUGCAUCAUACAAAUUGUUUUAUUUAAAACUGAACUAUUAAAUUAAGUAUCAUAGCAACUCACUUUACAGACAAGGAAACUGAAGCUCAAAGGUUAAGUAAGGGCCAGGCAUGGUGGCUCACUCCUGUAAUCCCAGCAGUUUGGGAGGCUGAGGUGGGAGGAGGAUUGCUUAAGCCCGCGAGUUUGAGACCAGCCUAGGCAAUAUAGGGAGACCCCAUCUCUACAAAAAAUUAUCUGGGCCUGGUGAUGUGUGCCUGUAGUCCCAGCUACUUGAGAGGCUGAGGUGGGAGGAUUGCUUGAGCCCAGAAGUUGAGGCUGCAGUGAGCCAUGAUCAUGCCAUUGUACUCCAGCCUGGGCAGCAAAGCAAAACCCUGUAUUGAAAACAAACAAACAGGCUGGGCACGGUGGCUCACACCUGUAAUCCCAACACUUUGGGAGGCCGAGGCAGGUGGAUCACCUGAGGUCAGGAGUUAGAGACCAGCCUGGCCAACAUGGUGAAACCCGCCUCUACUGAAAAUACAAAAAUUAGCAGGGCAUUGUGGCACAUGCCAAGGUGGGCAGAUCACCUGAGGUCAGGAGUUCGAGACCAGCCUGGCCAACAUGGUGAAACCCCAUCUCUACUAAAAAUACAAAAAUUAGCUGGGCGUGGUGGUGGGCGCCUGUAGUCCCAGCUACUCAGGAGGCUGAGGCAGGAGAAUCGCUUGAACCUGGGAGGUGGAGGUUGCAGUAAGCCAAGAUAGUGCCACUGCACUCCAGCCUGGGCGACAGACAAAAAAAAAAAAAAAAAGAAGUUGGAGCAGUGUGAAGAAGAGGUGAGAACAACCCCCGGACUGAUCAAAGCCCACAUGCCACUGCAUCCCGCGUCCAGCGCCUACAUCCUGCCACCGUCGCUGCCACCACCAUGCCCAAGAGAAAGGCUAAAGGGGAUGCUAAAGGAGACAAAGCCAAGGUGAAGGACGAACCAUAGAGAAGAUCCACAAGGUUGUCUGCUAAACCUGCUCCUCCAAAGCCACAGCCCAAGCCUAAAAAGGCCCCUGCAAAGAAGGGAGAGAAGAUACCCAAAGGGAAAAAGGGAAAAGCUGAUGCUGGCAAGGAGGGGAAUAACCCUGCAGAAAAUGGAGAUGCCAAAACAGACCAGGCACAGAAAGCUGAAGGUGCUGGAGUUGCCAAGUGAAGUGUGUGCAUUUUUGAUAACUGUGUACUUCUGGUGACUGUACAAUUUCAAAUACUAUUUUUUAUCAAGUUUUAUAAAAAUGCAGAAUUUUGUUUUACUUUUUUUUUAAGCUAUGUUGUUAACACACAGAACACUUCAUUGUUGUUUUUUGGGGAAGGGGCAUAUGUCACUAGUAGAAUGUCUCCAAAGCUGGAUUGAUGUGGGGAAAACACAUUUCCCUUCCAGUUUUGAAAGAUUUCCUCUUGGCUCCCAGGAGGAGGGAUUCCCUGACUUUGACACACAUGGCCACCUUGGCACAAAAGCCUUGUGGUAUGGAAAAACAAAUUCGUUUUUAUGUCCUCUUCUCCCUUUCCAUCCUUCAGCAUAGACUUAACUCCCUUAAGCCCAGACAUCUGUUGGGACCUGACCUCUAGUCAUUGGUUACCAGUGUGUCAGGCAAUCUGGAUUUUCCAGUGAUGCCGCUGAGAUGGCACCUGUCAAAAGAGUAGUGGUUCCAUUUCUAGAUUGUGGAUAUUCAGAUAAAUUCUGCCAUUUUCAUUUCACUUCAUGAAAGUCAGGUUCAGCCUGUGAAAAGUUGUUAAACAACAUGCUAAAUGUGAAAUGUCAACCCUCACUCUAAACUUUCCCUGUUCAGAGCAUCAGAUGAAGACUUCAGUGGCUUUCUGAUUUUUGGUAGUCCAUUGAAGAAGGGAGUUUGAAAGUUGUUGUAUACUGUUAACGAUUGUCUGCCCAUGUCCUGCCUGAAAUGCCAUGAUUGUUUAUGGAACGUAUCUUUAAUAAAGCUGGAUACAGCUUGAAAAAAAAAGAAGUCAACUUGCUACAGAGAAUUGAAUAGGAAAGAAUGAGGAAGAUUGGCUAGAAGGGCAACCUGACAGGGCCCCUCAGGGCACACAGGUCUUUCCCCACUCAGUACUGUCCCUCUCCUGAUUAUGCUUACUUUGUCUAUAGACAGUACCUUUUCACAUUCUUUCCUGCAAGACACAUUAACACAUUAGAUGGACAAUGAAAAAAAAAUACAUUAUUUUCUAGAUGAUAAGCAAGGAUCCAACAUAUGUUAAGCAAACAUGACACUA